CCUACGGGAGGCAGCAGUCGAGAAUCAUUCACAAUGGGGGAAACCCUGAUGGUGCGACGCCGCGUGGGGGAAUGAAGGUCUUCGGAUUGUAAACCCCUGUCAUGUGGGAGCAAAUUAAAAAGAUAGUACCACACGAGGAAGAGACGGCUAACUCUGUGCCAGCAGCCGCGGUAAUACAGAGGUCUCAAGCGUUGUUCGGAAUCACUGGGCGUAAAGCGUGCGUAGGCUGUUUCGUAAGUCGUGUGUGAAAGGCGCGGGCUCAACCCGCGGACGGCACAUGAUACUGCGAGACUAGAGUAAUGGAGGGGGAACCGGAAUUCUCGGUGUAGCAGUGAAAUGCGUAGAUAUCGAGAGGAACACUCGUGGCGAAGGCGGGUUCCUGGACAGUAACUGACGCUGAGGCACGAAGGCCAGGGGAGCGAAAGGGAUUAGAUACCCUGGUAGUC
rnacentral:rRNA from 1 species